rnacentral:misc_RNA from 1 species
UUUCCGUAGGUGAACCUGCGGAAGGAUCAUUAUUGUAUAACCGAGGUGCGAGGGCUGUCGCUGACCCGAAAGAUCGUGCACGCCCGAGUGCCCUCACACACAUCCAUCUCACCCCUAAGUGCACCACCGCGUGGGUCCCCCUUUGGCUUGUUCGGAGGGGGGCUUACGUUUUCACACAAACUUUGUAUGCAGUGUAGAAUGUAUUUUUUGUUUUUGCGAUCACGCAAUCAAUACAACUUUCAACAACGGAUCUCUUGGCUCUC